AUUGAACGCUGGCGGCAUGCCUUACACAUGCAAGUCGAACGGUAACAGGUCUUCGGAUGCUGACGAGUGGCGCACGGGUGAGUAAUACAUCGGAACGUGCCCGAUCUUGGGGGAUAACGAGGCGAAAGCUUUGCGAAUACCGCAUACGAUCUACGGAUGAAAGCGGGGGAUCUUCGGAGCUCGCGCGGUCGGAGCGGCGGAUGGCAGAUUAGGUAGUUGGUGGGAUAAAAGCUUACCAAGCCGACGAUCUGUAGCUGGUCUGAGAGGAUGAUCAGCCACACUGGGACUGAGACACGGCCCAGACUCCUACGGGAGGCAGCAGUGGGGAAUUUUGGACAAUGGGCGAAAGCCUGAUCCAGCCAUGCCGCGUGCAGGAUGAAGGCCUUCGGGUUGUAAACUGCUUUUGUACGGAACGAAAAGCCUCUUUCUAAUAAAGAGGGGUCAUGACGGUACCGUAAGAAUAAGCACCGGCUAACUACGUG
rnacentral:rRNA from 1 species